AGUGAACGCUGGCGGUAGGCCUAACACAUGCGAGUCGAACGGCAGCACAGUAAGAGCUUGCUCUUACGGGUGGCGAGUGGCGGACGGGUGAGGAAUACAUCGGAAUCUACUUUUUCGUGGGGGAUAACGUAGGGAAACUUACGCUAAUACCGCAUACGACCUACGGGUGAAAGCAGGGGAUCUUCGGACCUUGCGCGAUUGAAUGAGCCGAUGUCGGAUUAGCUAGUUGGCGGGGUAAAGGCCCACCAAGGCGACGAUCCGUAGCUGAUCUGAGAGGAUGAUCAGCCACACUGGAACUGAGACACGGUCCAGACUCCUACGGGAGGCAGCAGUGGGGAAUAUUGGACAAUGGGCGCAAGCCUGAUCCAGCCAUACCGCGUGGGUGAAGAAGGCCUUCGGGUUGUAAAGCCCUUUUGUUGGGAAAGAAAAGCAGCAGGUUAAUACCCCGCUGUUCUGACGGUACCCAAAGAAUAAGCACCGGCUAACUUCGUG
rnacentral:rRNA from 1 species